ensembl:lncRNA
GGAACCCUUUGCUCCACUUUCCAAGGGAGAAAAUGAGUUGCGUGGUGCUGGGCAGGGGCUGUCUGGUACACCUGGGGCUACAGGGCCAGCUGGUCGUCCUCACCAACCUCUACUUCUGUGUGCUGGGCGGCUCAGCUUUUAUUUGAGUAUCCGAUGCUACAUAUUCCUUCAAAUGCACCAGCCUAGUCCUGGAGUUGGAGUCACUGCUGAUGGGCAGACUGUUGCUGUAGGCUGAUGGCUUUUGGAAAGGUCCUGAGGAGGUUGCCAAUGAAGGCUGAAUGCCAGGGACCCCAUGCAUUCAAAGAGACCUUCCCCCUUCCCAUAUGUUUCCAAGGGGAACCUUGGUGGUUUUCAGACUUGGAUGGCAGAGUAGACUAGAAAUUGAUGCCUGAAAUCUGGCAGGUUCCAGCCACCCUGUACUUGAUGAUUUUUACCACGCAUGAUGUCAUUUGCCCUUUUCAGAGGUCCAAUUCUUAACAGGACAGUGACAAGAUAGUGAAGAGGACACUAAACUAUGCCCUCCUGGGGUUGUUGAAGAAACUGAAGAGGUUUAGCUUGGAUAUGAGAACACUCAGAGGCACAUAUGGCUGUGUUCAGAUGCUAGAAGGAUGGUUAUGGGAAAAGGAAAUUGGGUCUACUCCCCAAGGCCCCCGUGGGUAAAGACAAGGCCUGAGAGUGGAAGCCCUGGAACACUGAUGGUGAACCUUUUAGAGCUUUCAAUGAUACAAACAGCCUACUGUGGCACACGUGCCAUAGCUUCACCACCACUGCCCUAGGAGCUUGAAGCUGGAGCAGCCUCAGAGAUAUGGCUGACAAUCAGGACACCUGGAGCUCUCUUCCUCUGCAGGGCUCAGAGGUGCUGCUCAGCCAAACUGGAAAGCUGUUAUGGACCUUCCAGGGCUGAUGGAAGGGCCUCAGGGAGACUUCAGGCCAGUUCACUGUGUCUAUGAAUCUAUACCCAGUGUCCUCCUCAGCUUGGGGCAUGUUGAGCACAUCUCCCCGCUGCAGCCUAAGCUGCUGUUCACAGUACACAAAAGCAAGCAGUCAUCAUCCCUGCCUACAAGAGAAGGCAAAUACACACAUACACACACACACACAGGUCAGGACACAGUGGAGACCUUGCCACGGGUGCAUACAAGCAGGUCUCACAGGGGAAGUAGCAUGCGGGCGGGGCCUCCAAGGAUGAAUAGGGUUUUGACGGGCAGAGACAGAGAAGGUGUAUCUGGCAAGAGAAACAACAGGAAGACAGUGGGAGUGAUGGGCCAGUCAUAUCUGGGGAGAUGCCUGUUAUGGAGCUGGAGAUGGAGGCUGGACUGGGGCCAGGCUGGAGAGCCUUGGGAGACAGCCGAAGGGUCCUAGCUAUAGAACAUGGGGAACUGGCAGAUGUUUGCAGGCAGGUGAAGGAUAUGAUCAGUAUUCCUUGUAAGAUCACUCCUGCGGACACACAGAUGGUGGCUGGGGAGGUGGGUGGCAGAAACAGGAAGCAGAAAGGCCAGCCAGGGCCAUGGUGGCAGAGGCCAGGCUUGAUGGUAGCCCACAUCCUGCUCACAUAUGGUCACCAUACCCACUGCCAUCAGGACUUGAUGACUGAGUAGAAAGGGGAGCAUUUAAAGAUGAGGCUUGGGUUUCUUGCUUGGGAGACAGGGUGGGUGGUGAUUUCAUUAACCUUUGUCUUUUGGCAAGCAAACCAAAAUACAUGAGGCUCAGGCUGGGUUUACACUUAGUGGAAACCUGAGGAAAGAAGGGAAGGCCCAGGGAGGCCCAGGGAAACAGGAAGAAGCUCUGAGGGGCAGCCAUGAGAAGUCUGAGGUUUGCUGUGUGAGUGCUCUCCUUUAGGGCCUCAGUUUCCCCUGAGUGAGCAGCAAGUGCAGACACGGUAUCCUCACUCUCUGGCAAAGGCCCAGAGCUCUCCUCCGCCUCCUCCUCGCACACCUGGUUCUCACACCCUUGUGACUCUCCAACACACGCUGGUAGGUGGAUAAUGAUGCGUGUUCCAGGGGCCCUACACCAGCCUCAUGACACCCACAGCCCGCCUAGAGGGAGUCAGCGUGAACACCAGCUAGGAUCUUUAGUCCACAGGCCUCAGACCUAGAGACCACUAUAGGUGACCU